UGUGUGUGUGUGUUUGUGUGUGUGUGUGUGUGUGUGAGAGAGAGAGAGAGAGAGAGAGAGUAUGGGUGUGGGUGUGUGUAUUCUUAUUAUUCAAAUAAGUUAUACACACACACAGACACACGCACACACACAAU
rnacentral:miRNA from 1 species